rnacentral:lncRNA from 1 species
GCGGCAGGCUGGCGCCGCCUGACGGGGGAAGACAGCAGCUCUAGCCCGGCGCCGAGCGGCAGGCCGAGCGGCAGGCCGGGCGGGGCCGGGCGGCGAGGACAGCAGGUCUACCCCGGCGCCAACUUGCCAGGCCGGGCAGGGCCGGGCGGCGAGGACGGCGAACAGGUCUACCCCGGCGCCGACUGGCGGCAGGCUGGGGACCGGCUGACUGGGACAGCAGGUCUACCCCGCCGCCUGGAAACGCCAGGCCGGGCAGGGCCAGGCGGCGAUGCCAGGCGUACCCCGGCGCCGAGCGGCAGGCCGGGCCGGCACGGCCUGACGGGGGCAACAGGUCUACCCCGCCGCCAAACGCCAGGCGCCCAAGUCCGGCCGGGGAGAGUCGGUCUACCCGCCACCCGCCAGGAAGGGUGGCCAGGGGAAGGGACGCCACGCGCUUCCCCGCACCCCAAGCGCCGAGCGCGACGGAGCCCGCGGGCGUGGCAGCAGGGGCGACGACGCGCGGCUGCCCCGGCUGGCCCGGCUGGCCCGGCUGCCCCGGCUGCCCCGGCUGCCCCGGCUGCCCCGGCUGCCCCGGCUGCCCCGGCUGCCCCGGCUGCCCCGGCCCCGCGGCGAGAGCACCAGGUCUACCCCCCCGCCCGGAGACGGCAGCGGACAGGCGCCCCCCCCUUGCACCGCGCGCGCGGUGAAGAGGGACGCCCGCCGCCGCCGCCGCGGCCAAGCCCCCAAACCCCGCGUAUCGGGCACCGGGACCCGCGCGGGGGGGGGGGGGGGGGAAGUCGAGGCCGCGGGGCCCGGCGGGGCCUCUCGCGCACGCGGCGCGCCCGGAGCGCACCGCCGGCGGCGGCGCGGCCCUCACUCGCGGUUUUUCGGGGUUUUUUUGCCCGGCCCCCGGACUCCGCGUAUCGGGCCUGGGGACCCGCGCGGAGGAGAGCGCGAAAGGCGGACCGCGCGAGGAGCGGGGGCGCCCGCGCGCCCCACGCAACCGGGGCCCCCCGUCGGCCCCGGCCCGCCGCCGAGAGGCCUCGGAGGAGGAGGAGGAGGAGGAAAGGAGGCGUUUCUCCUUUCCGAAGGAGGAAAGGACGCGCGCGCCCCCGGCCGGAGCGCGCACGCCGGAGCGGCGGCGGGGCCGGCCCCUCGCGCCCCGCUCGCCCGCUCGCUCGAGCGACAAAAGCUUGUGUCGAGGGCUGA